UACGGGGGGGGCAAGCGUUGUUCGGAAUUACUGGGCGUAAAGCGUGCGUAGGUGGUGAGUUAAGUCUGUCGUGAAAGCCCCGGGCUCAACCUGGGAAUGGCGAUGGAUACUGGCUCGCUAGAGUGCGGUAGAGGGUGGUGGAAUUCCCGGUGUAGCAGUGAAAUGCGUAGAGAUCGGGAGGAACAUCAGUUGCGAAGGCGGCCACCUGGACCAGCACUGACACUGAGGCACGAAAGCGUGGGUAGCAAACAGG
rnacentral:rRNA from 1 species